AGGGAUAUAGUUCAGUUGGUUCAAGAAUGACGGACUCCAAAUCUGUAGACGGGGGUUCAAAUCCUCCUAUCCCUG
rnacentral:tRNA from 1 species